rnacentral:rRNA from 1 species
UACGUAGGGGGCUAGCGUUGUCCGGAAUCAUUGGGCGUAAAGCGCGCGUAGGCGGCCAGAUAAGUCCGGUGUGAAAGUCACAGGCUCAACCUGUGAAUGCCGCUGGAAACUGUCUGGCUUGAGUCCGGAAGGGGCGAGUGGAAUUCCUGGUGUAGCGGUGAAAUGCGCAGAUAUCAGGAGGAACACCAAUGGCGAAGGCAGCUCGCUGGAACGGUACUGACGCUGAGGGACGAAAGCUAGGGGAGCGAAUGGG